GUUGAUGUUACUGUAGCUUUCUCGGGAUGGUAUUCAACUAUUUAUUGCUCGAGUCAGACUAGUUUUGGUGAUGUUUUGGGCAUUUAGUCUCACAGAUUUUCUUAAUGUUUUUGGCUUCUGAAUCAAAUCCCUGAUUGUGAGAUAUGAUCAUACCAAAAGUGAUGAUCUGUUGGCAGGAGCAUGUAUCCUGGUGAGGAAGCAAUGAUCCACAUUCCUGAAGGAUUAAAGGAAGACUGUAUAUUUAGAUUCAUAAUUAGCAGUGGUCAAUGGACGAUUGCUGAAGUGAUGUAGUCAUGAUCUAUUCUAAAUUGAGAUAUUGUGAACAUUUUUUUAUGUUUAAUGGAAGUCAUGGAUUGUGUUUUAUGCAUAAGUGUUGAAUUUUGAUUUAUC
rnacentral:lncRNA from 1 species